rnacentral:rRNA from 1 species
ACUCCUACGGGGAGGCAGCAGUGGGGAAUAUGCACAAUGGGCGCAAGCCUGAUGCAGGCCAUGCCGCGUGUGUGAAGAAGGCCUUCGGGUUGUAAAGCACUUUCAAGUGCGUGAGGAAGGUAGUGUAGUUAACACCUGCAUUAUUUUGACGAUUACCUGACAGAAGAAGCACCGGCUAACUCCGUGCCAGCAGCCGCGGUAAUA